GAUGAACGCUGGCGGCGUGCCUAACACAUGCAAGUCGAACGGAGAUUACGGACGGAAGUUUUCGGAUGGAAGACUGUAAUUCUUAGUGGCGGACGGGUGAGUAACGCGUGGGCAACCUGCCCUAUACAGGGGGAUAGCAGCUGGAAACGGCUGGUAAGACCGCAUAAGUCGGCGAGACCGCAUGGUUUUGCCUGGAAAUGAGCAAUCAGGUAUAGGAUGGGCCCGCGUCCGAUUAGCCAGUUGGCAGGGUAAAAGCCUACCAAAGCAACGAUCGGUAGCCGGACUGAGAGGUCGGACGGCCACAUUGGGACUGAGACACGGCCCAAACUCCUACGGGAGGCAGCAGUGGGGGAUAUUGCACAAUGGAGGAAGCUCUGAUGCAGCGACGCCGCGUGAGUGAAGAAGUAUUUCGGUAUGUAAAGCUCUAUCAGCAGGGAAGAUGAUGACGGUACCUGACUAAGAAGCCCCGGCUAACUACGUG
rnacentral:rRNA from 1 species